CCUCGCCGAGUCCGGUUCUCCGGGGGAGGUCGGCGCUGAAGGCGGUUUAAAAAAACAAAAUGCGAGGCAGACUUAUGUUUUCCUUGUGAAUCGUGACGUUCUUUGCUUUCUCCUACAGGAGUGAAGGUUUGUGCCCUUCGUGACCCGUGUGGGUGUGUGUGGGGGUGUACGCAGCUUUCCGUGGUUUUCUCCAGGAGAAGCCAGACUGAAUCCUUCGUUGAGAAGUUUAAGAUAAACACAGGCAGGGCAAAAAGAGGGGACAGGGUGGCAGUCGGGUCUCGGGUACCUUUCUUGUCACCAGCAGCUGCUCAGCAGUGUCCCUCUGAAAUCCAAAAGCUUUUCAACGAGCUGUUUUUAACCCAUUUCAAAAGCGGGCAACCGAAGAGCGAGCAUCUUCAACCGCUAUCUGUUGCUUGUAGUAACGCUCCCCGCGUAACUGCGGCCCCGGCAAAGGCUUCCCUCCCAGGUAGCCUGAACGCUGCCUGGGAGCUUCCUUCUGGAGGACACCAUUCAUCGUCAGUUAGCAUUUCACGAAGGUUUUUGUCUCUGUUGCAAUAAUUAUUUCACCAUAUUCUGGUUGCUGUAAAUCCUGUGCUGCGGUGGCUGCCUACCUGUAACGCAGCGUGGUUCUGUUGCCCUUCCAUAUACCCAGGGAGUUGGAAAACCUUCUUGAGUUUCUACAGCCUGUAGUUUUUAAACUUGGGAAUCUUGAAAACAUAAUUAUGAAGAAUCAGAAAGGAGAAUAAAUUUUUACUGCCUUACUAUUUAAAAUAAUCUUAUUUUAAAUAAUGGCUUUUCUUCAGACUUUCCUGAAAGUCUUCAGUCUUACUCAGAAAGUGUUGUAAGAUUUCUUUUAUCUUUUUUUUGUGUGUGUCUUGCAAUAAAAAAAGGAAAAGAACUUCUCAUAAAUUUGAGCAUCCCUACUUGUAUGUUGGGGUUCAUUUACUGUGAGAUACAUUGCAAAUCAUACAGUAAACAGGCUCCCACUGGCACAGCAUUGUACACUGUACCUGUAGACAUAAAUCUUUAGGUGUGCUUUAUGAGGCAAAAAGUGCAUGAUUACUUUCUAAGUAAUUUAUUAUUGUAAGAUCUUUAUUUUUACAUCAUUUUCAAAUUACUGGCUGUUAACUUGACAGAACUGGAUAAAUGGAUGUGAGUUUUUAAAACUGCUUGUAAUACUGGCACAAUUGAAUUAGGUGGUCAAACUUCAUGUGCCUUCAGACAAGGAAUUAGGAUUUCACCCGUGUGUUCAGUAAAAUCAAACCCAUGAUUCUGUAAUGUUGUUACGCUUUCAAAAUGCAUUGGUCUGUGUAUUCUCAAAAGCUUUGAUUUUUAUAUGCUUACUUAAAAAACCCAAACAAACAAGACUGUUGUCUUCAGUAGAACGAUUUACAUGCUUAACCAAUAUGCAUUUUCCUAAGGAUUUUCCUGUCUAAGUGCUUCCAUUCUGGGCUUCAGUCCCGAUGGCAAUUCACAGACCAGUCCAAAUACCUUCGUACAUGGAUGAUUUGCUAGGAGAAUGAGUCAAUUAAUUAUUGACUAUGCAUAGGUAUUUCUUAGGUAAGCUUUAAUGAUCUACUUCCUUUUUGUUGUUUGGAUGUUUCCACCCAUUUACUGUACAUGGUGAGCUGUGGGCAUAUUGGUAUUCCCUGAGUCUACUUGUCUGCCUAAACUAAAACGAUUGAAAUUUCUUGUGGAAUGAGGGCCAGUAAACUGUUCUAUAACGCUGCCUUUCUUACAAAAAGAGAGCAAGUAUUUUGGGUAGAAUUUGUCUGAAUGUGACAUCUUGAGUUAAAGCAUCCCACUGUCAUUAUUAUCCCUGUAAUCAAAAUGAGGAAGAUGAGGAAAACUGUCAUAUGGCCAUAUUUCCCUGUUAACAAUGGUGAGACAAGUAAGAAGAAUUGAGAUUAAUCACAUUUAAACAAGCAAAUUAGUAUGUAUUAGAUUGUAUGUGCGUACUAAUUUCCUGCAAAUCUUACUGUUUUGUUUAACCAAACAAGACUACUGUAAACAUUCAGUUUGGACAGGGGGCUACUCUUACAUUGUGAAUGCCUGAUAAGUUAACUUAUAUGAAAGAUAGAUAAUGUUUUCUUUCAUCACAGCCAUAGCAGUAAAUUUGUCCACCCUUCCUCACAGAGUAAGGCCAACUUCUGAAGUAAAAGUACUGAGGGAGUAGUUGACUACUGCAUUUGAGUAAAACUGACAACUUCUUGCUGUAUGAUUUUUUUGUUAAGGAUUGUGUAAGAAAUUGUAAAAAUAUUUAAGAGCAGUAGCAGUAAAUAUUUCGGAAUAUUACUAUUACACCUCUUAGGAACAAAUGUUUUAUGUAUUGUUUGUGUUGUAAUUUAUAUUGUUUGUGUAAAAUGAUGGUUUCUUGAAAAAAAAGCAGAUUAUUUCAUUAUGUUAAUUAUUUUUAUCAUAUUAGCUUGUACCUGCUGAUUAUCCGUCUUUUCUUAUUCCAGCUACCAGCUUUGACACUCAGUCUGCUCAGCAUUGCCAGCCAAAUACAGCAAGAUUGCUCAUGGGUUUGGAAAUGAAUCAUACAAGUGGCUGCAGAAUUGAAAACUCUCUCAGAUCUGCUGAAUACCAGAAUGAGGAACUAUACAUGCACAUCUCUUAAACACAAGAUAAUCUUUCUCACUGUUUUGAUGUACGCCUUUUGUAAAUGCAGAAGAUCAGAGCAGUUAAGGAAAUACAGAAACUGUGAUGGAGAUUUUACUUGACGGUUGUUUACGUUGAAAAACCCCAUGCUGACCACCCCUGCUACCAUCUUAACAAUUAGCACAGCCUCAGGUCACGGUCAGCGGAUGAAGACACUUAAGCGAUGUUGCACUUCUGAUGAGAAUUUACGGCGAUCUUCAUGUCCGUUAAUAGGAAUUUUGGUUUAGAAAUAAAGGCAUAGAUGUGUAGAAGCAAAGGAAUUGUUUAGGCAGUGUUGUUUGAUCCAGAGCUCUUGCAGUGGAGAGUGGAUUCAGCUGCACCCUCAGGAGAAGUCUUUUCCCGAGUAUCUCAUUCUGACUGCAGGAUGCAUAACGUAAAAAUGCCUGUCAAGAACGUCAGAAAUACGCGUCGUGCUGCAGUCUGUUUAUUUUGCUGCUCUCUCAUCUAUUUGCCAAAAACCUCCCUACAUCUUUUUAAUCAUUUCCUUUUUAUCUCUUCUUCAGCUUGUAUGAAAAUUAUGGAAAUAUUUUCAGAGAUCUAGUAACCUACAGACAAUCUACUAAUCACAAAGCAACACCAGAGAGGAAAAGGGUGUUCCCCUGUGUAAAAAUAAUUCUUUUUGGCUGCUGCAGCAGAGAGAAGACGCUGGAUGCUUUCCCCAGGCUCUGGUGAAUCCUUCUUUAAGAUAAUCGUUCCAGAUUGCAGCCCUGGGGCUGCUGAGCGAUACUAUUACUACAGGAGAGUUUCCAUCUACUGAAUAGAUGUUAGGUCCUUUGCAUUAGGGGUGGCCUCUGUCUACAUAGCCAGCACUGCAGUAAUAUCUAUAAAAUACAGAAAACAUCUAUAAAAAUAGAUAUACUCACUAUACUCACAUAAGUCACAUGGAGGCCAGCACACUAGUUAGGUAUUCUUUUCUCACACUGCCACGGCUACAGUGCCGGCGUGACCAACUUAAUUUGUAGCUAACUCAGACCAGCCUAGAAAAGAUUCAGUAUGGCCAUGUACUUCUGAGAGCCUCCAGCACAACUGUUCGCAAAGAUAACUGAAGUGUGACCACUCAGUUAUUUUACAGGCAGUUCUUUCUAUAAACCGUAAGGAUUAGAGAUUUCUUAUGGAAGAGAUCUUGAUGAAGAGCUCUUUGGUGUAGAGACCUUGAUUUACCUUAUAUGUUGCGCUGAUCUUUGCUGCGUUAUUAAGAUUAUAGACCUCUUCCUAUUUCAUUCAAAGGACUUUGCUCUUGAUAUAAAUAUUUGUAUGGCUGCAUGUGUGGCUGCGUUUAUAAGCAGCAGUCUGAAAGAAAUUUUGUUACUCAGGUUGGGUCAAAACAGAUAAACAGAAUGAGCAUACUUCUCUCAGAAUUUGGAAGACAUCCAAAGAAAUCCAAUCGUAAAGAGCCAAAUGCUUUCCUUCGUAAUAAAAUGACUAUACAGCUCACCUCCACAUGUGAAUACGUAUUCCCAAUAAAGCAGAUACAUA